rnacentral:rRNA from 1 species
ACGAACGCUGGCGGCGUGCUUAACACAUGCCAGUCGCACGGAAAGGCCCUGCUUUUGUGGGGUGCUCGAGUGGCGAACGGGUGAGUAACACGUGAGUAACCUGCCCUUGACUUUGGGAUAACUUCAGGAAACUGGGGCUAAUACCGGAUAGGAGCUCCUGCUGCAUGGUGGGGGUUGGAAAGUUUCGGCGGUUGGGGAUGGACUCGCGGCUUAUCAGCUUGUUGGUGGGGUAGUGGCUUACCAAGGCUUUGACGGGUAGCCGGCCUGAGAGGGUGACCGGCCACAUUGGGACUGAGAUACGGCCCAGACUCCUACGGGAGGCAGCAGUGGGGAAUAUUGCACAAUGGGCGGAAGCCUGAUGCAGCAACGCCGCGUGCGGGAUGACGGCCUUCGGGUUGUAAACCGCUUUCGCCUGUGACGAAGCGUGAGUGACGGUAAUGGGUAAAGAAGUACCGGCUAACUACGUG